AUCCCAUGAUGAGGACAAUUUUUUAAUCAUCAUAUUAAAACGUUCGAAGGCUUCAUGAAACAUUUCGCCUUGUUGUUGUUGGAAACUCCUCAACCCCUUCCUAGCAU
rnacentral:snoRNA from 1 species